UACGAAGGGGGCUAGCGUUGUUCGGAAUCACUGGGCGUAAAGGGUGCGUAGGCGGGUCUUUAAGUCAGGGGUGAAAUCCUGGAGCUCAACUCCAGAACUGCCUUUGAUACUGAAGAUCUUGAGUUCGGGAGAGGUGAGUGGAACUGCGAGUGUAGAGGUGAAAUUCGUAGAUAUUCGCAAGAACACCAGUGGCGAAGGCGGACUCACUGGCCCGAUACUGACGCUGAGGCACGAAAGCGUGGGGAGCAAACAGG
rnacentral:rRNA from 1 species